rnacentral:rRNA from 1 species
UACGGAAGGUCCGGGCGUUAUCCGGAUUUAUUGGGUUUAAAGGGAGCGUAGGCCGGAGAUUAAGCGUGUUGUGAAAUGUAGAUGCUCAACAUCUGAAUUGCAGCGCGAACUGGUUUCCUUGAGUACGCAUAAAGUGGGCGGAAUUCGUGGUGUAGCGGUGAAAUGCUUAGAUAUCACGAAGAACUCCGAUUGCGAAGGCAGCUCACUGGGGCGCAACUGACGCUGAAGCUCGAAAGCGCGGGUAUCGAACAGG